rnacentral:sRNA from 1 species
AAUCUUUUGAACUACACAAAACAUUCCGUCCUGUAAAAGUCAAAUAUGUACAAUAAAUGCCUUAAUCAAAAUUUCAAACCAUCUACCACACCCUCUUUUAAGUCCACCCCACAAAGCUCCACCUAGAGGGAUUUUAUCAUGUUAAAAACAAUUUUCUGUGACUCUGCUGGGAUGUUUGUAUGAAAGAAUGAUCUGGUUGAAGGGGAAACAACUCUCUGAUCAGAUUUAUUUAUUUUUUCUGUCUAAGUGGUAUAUGGAAUUACCAGUAAUAAAUUGUAGUUCUGUUUUAUUUUAAUCUCGUUUUACAUACUUUUGAAGGGAGGCAUACAUGUGAUAUCACUUUUGUAAAAAUAAAUUCGUGUUCUUAUGAGGAAUAUAGUAGACAUUUCUUUUGUAGAAAGGAGAAAAAGAAGUUUUCAACAUCAGUGAACUUCUUCUUUUUGGGGAUUUCAGACUUUUUUGUUGUUACUUUUGUAAACCAUUUUUUUUUCUUAAAACUUCCAAUUUAUGGAAUAAUGGCCAACUUUUAUAACUCGUUGAUAACAUAUUUUAAUUAGUCACAGAGUGACAUACAUGUUGUUCGUUAGGAAUGACUGGUUCUUGUGUUUAAUCAAUGUUCCUGUUUUUACAAUCUUAAUUGUCACAAUAUUUCUUUGAAACGAGUAAAGUUUUCUGCAAAUAAUGCAUUUUUCUAGAUAACUGUGCAUUUUUUAUUAGUUUAAAACCAGAAUGGUGUGUAAAAGUGUUUUAAUUUUUGGAGGUUCAUGUAAUGUUUAUGGUGUAAAUUUUUGUGUCUCUGAUUUUUCAUUUACAUUGAAUUCUUGAAAAAUACAUUGUGAUAAACCAUUGUCUGUCAUUUCUUCAUAUUAUGGGAAUGCUUUUUGAUUCAUCUGUGAUAAAUACAAAUAUAUUGUGCUUGUAAACAAUUUUUUUGCUCCAGUGAAGGAGCUCUGAAAUAAAUUAUGGUUAUAUUGUUG